rnacentral:rRNA from 1 species
GCAAGUCAAACGAUAUACUUACUUCGGUAAGGAACAGUGGCAGACGGGUGAGUAAUGAAUAGGAACUUACCCUCAAGUGGGGGAUAGCUCAGCGAAAGUUGGGGUAAUACCGCAUGUGAUCGCAAGAUCAAAGCCUUCGGGCGCUUGGGGAGAGGCCUAUUUCCUAUCAGGUUGUUGGUGAGGUAAAAGCUCACCAAGCCUAUGACGGGUAGCCGGUGUGAGAGCACGACC